rnacentral:lncRNA from 7 species
GCCACUCGUCAGUAGGCAGCAAGGCCUCUGCGGUUGUGGGCUGUGCCCAUGACUCCAGGCCAACAUGUAAUUAUAUCGCCGUGGGUAACGAGGUGAGCGCCGGCGACGCCGCGGAGAUGCUGCUCGCCUGCUCCGUAUCAUCCUGGCUGCUGGCCGAGUGAGGAGGCACGGGCGUGCAUAGAACAAAGCCACACUUCGAAUGUCGACGUGCGCCGCCCUGACACAGAGCGCAAGGAGUCCAUCCUCGCUCCCGUGUACGCCAUCUAUCUUGUGGUCUGAUGGCACAUCGCGGGUACUAGAGUCCACCAUGCGACAACCGUCGAUGUUUUCUUCAUCGUGAACAAAGAUCCUAGAGGCCAUUUGGAGGGUGGCCUGCUACAAGCCUACAAGGGAGGGAGAGAGAGGAUGCUUGGCAGUCUCGUUUUCUGGCUGAUUUCGUGUAAGCAGAUCGGGAGCAGCUUUUCAGUGAACAAUUUGGUCAUCGAUCGCGAAAUUGUACUCUAAAGUAGACAUGUGCAUCGA